UCUCGUGUCGUCCAACUGCAGGACGCCGGACCGUUACUCCGGUGAUGGAGGUUCGAGUCCUCUCGCGAGAG
rnacentral:tRNA from 1 species